rnacentral:rRNA from 1 species
CACUCUAAGUUGACUGCCGGUGACAAACCGGAGGAAGGUGGGGAUGACGUCAAAUCAUCAUGCCCCUUAUGAUUUGGGCUACACACGUGCUACAAUGGACAAUACAAAGGGCAGCGAAACCGCGAGGUCAAGCAAAUCCCAUAAAGUUGUUCUCAGUUCGGAUUGUAGUCUGCAACUCGACUACAUGAAGCUGGAAUCGCUAGUAAUCGUAGAUCAGCAUGCUACGGUGAAUACGUUCCCGGGUCUUGUACACACCGCCCGUCACACCACGAGAGUUUGUAACACCCGAAGCCGGUGGAGUAACCUUUUAGGAGCUAGCCGUCGAAGGUGGGACAAAUGAUUGGGGUGAAGUCGUAACAAGGUAGCCGUAUCGGAAGGUGCGGCUGGAUCACCUCCUUUCUAAGGA